UAGUCUGAGAGAUAGGAAUUAUAUAGAGUCUUACUAAUGAUGGAGAAGUUUGCUAAGCAAAACAAAGUCCAACACUAUCUAAAUCCUUAGGAAUAAAUAUAAGAGAUAUA
rfam:Clostridium botulinum A str. ATCC 3502 complete genome